GGCAGACGGGUGAGUAACGCGUGGGAACAUACCCUUUCCUGCGGAAUAGCUCCGGGAAACUGGAAUUAAUACCGCAUACGCCCUACGGGGGAAAGAUUUAUCGGGGAAGGAUUGGCCCGCGUUGGAUUAGCUAGUUGGUGGGGUAAAGGCCUACCAAGGCGACGAUCCAUAGCUGGUCUGAGAGGAUGAUCAGCCACAUUGGGACUGAGACACGGCCCAAACUCCUACGGGAGGCAGCAGUGGGGAAUAUUGGACAAUGGGCGCAAGCCUGAUCCAGCCAUGCCGCGUGAGUGAUGAAGGCCUUAGGGUUGUAAAGCUCUUUCACCGAUGAAGAUAAUGACGGUAGUCGGAGAAGAAGCCCCGGCUAACUUCGUGCCAGCAGCCGCGGUAAUACGAAGGGGGCUAGCGUUGUUCGGAAUUACUGGGCGUAAAGCGCACGUAGGCGGAUAUUUAAGUCAGGGGUGAAAUCCCGCAGCUCAACUGCGGAACUGCCUUUGAUACUGGGUAUCUUGAGUAUGGAAGAGGUAAGUGGAAUUCCGAGUGUAGAGGUGAAAUUCGUAGAUAUUCGGAGGAACACCAGUGGCGAAGGCGGCUUACUGGUCCAUUACUGACGCUGAGGUGCGAAAGCGUGGGGAGCAAACAGGAU
rnacentral:rRNA from 1 species